UGGCCCGGCGACGUCUCACGGUC
rnacentral:miRNA from 1 species